AUGGGUGGCGUCUGUUCAAGGAAGCGAAGCCAAUUGGUGGAGGAGGACGACGACUCUCUCCAGACACCGACGAGGUUCUCGAAGACCAGCAGCUUGAAAUGGCUGCUGCUCACGCUGCCCCGCAGCAGCUCCGAUGUCUCCCGCAAGGGACCAGGGAAGGGCCCUGGCCGGUGCCCGGCACUCAUGGAGCUCUGUGUCGCCAAAGUCUGCAAGGAUAUCAGUAAGUAUUCUACUCUUGCUAUGCUGCCGAGUGAUCUCAGCCAGCAGAUUUUCGAUGAACUGGUGGACUCGAACUGCCUCACGGAGGAAUCACUUGAAACCUUUCGGGAUUGUGCGCUGCAUGACAUUUGUUUGGGGGAGUAUCCUGGAGUUAAGGAUGCCUGGAUGGAAGUAGUGGCUUCACAAAGGCAGUCAUUAUUGUCCGUUGACAUUUCUUGCUCUGAAGUUACUGACAGUGGCUUAAAUUUUCUUAGUGAUUGCUCAAACAUGCAAAGCUUAUCAUGUAAUUACUGUGACAAUGUCUCAGAACAUGGCCUUGGAGUUUUGUCAGGUUUCUCAUACUUGACAUCUUUAAGUUUCAAGAGAAGUGGCGGUGUUACUGCUGAAGGAAUGAGAGUGUUUGCAAAUUUAGUUAAUUUGGUAAAUCUUGACCUUGAGCGAUGCCUGAAGAUUCAUGGUGGCCUGGUUCAUGUGAAAGGCCUGAGAAAGCUGGAGUCACUUAAUAUGAGAUAUUGUAACUACAUUACAGAUUCAGAUAUCAAGUAUUUAUCAGAUCUCACAAAUUUGAAGGAACUGCAAUUGUCUUCUUGCAGAAUUACAGAUCUGGGUAUUUCUUAUCUUACAGGCUUGUCUAAGUUAACUCAUCUUAACUUGGAGAGCUGUCCAGUGACCGCUGCAUGCUUGGAAGCUAUCUCAGGAUUGGCUUCACUGAUGUUGUUGAAUUUGAAUCGGUGUGGCAUAUAUGAUGAAGGCUGCGGAAGCUUUGAAGAUCUUAAAAAUUUGAAGGUCUUAAAUUUGGGCUUUAACCAUAUUACAGAUGCAUGUUUGGUGCAUCUGAAAGGACUAACCAAUUUGGAGUCCUUAAACCUGGAUUCAUGCAAGAUCGGAGAUGAAGGUCUACUACAUCUGAAGGGCCUUGUGUUAUUGAAAAGCUUGGAGCUUUCUGACACUGCAAUUGGAAGCAACGGGCUCCAGCAUCUUUCUGGUCUUCGGAAUUUGCACAGCAUAAAUCUCUCAUUUACAUUGGUUACAGACACUGGCAUGAAGAAGAUCUCCAUGUUGAAUUCACUGAAGUCAGUUAAUCUUGACAAUCGCCUGAUAACUGAUGUUGGCUUAGCAGCACUCAUAGGUCUUACUGGGUUGACUCAUCUUGACCUUUUCGGAGCUCGGGUGACUGACCAUGGGACAAGCUUCUUGAGAUAUUUCAAGAAUCUCGAGUCCCUUGAGGUAUGCGGUGGGUCAAUCACUGAUGCUGGAGUGAAGAAUAUCAAGGACCUCAAAGCUCUGACGCUCCUCAACCUUUCGCAAAAUGCCAAGCUGACAGACAAAACCCUGGAGCUGAUUUCUGGUACUAUUUCGUCCUCCCUGUCAACAUGGCAUCUGCUUGUACGUGCUCAUUGUCUGACGGAUCUGGUUUUUACAGGCUUGACCGCUUUGAUCUCCUUGAAUGUCUCCAACUCUCGGGUGUCCAACUCCGGUCUCCGUCACCUGAAGGCGCUGCAGAACCUGCGCUCGCUGACGCUGGAUUCGUGCAGGGUGACAGCGAAUGAGAUGAAGAAGCUCAGGGUGACAGCGCUCCCCAAUCUGAUAAGUGUUCGGCCUGAGUAG
rnacentral:rRNA from 1 species